UGAAUAAUAAAUAGCAAAAUAAUGGAUAUUCAAAGCUCGGCCCGGUCGCAUGUUUUCAAUAUAUUUAACAAAUACGAUAAUAUCGGGAGUUAAGAAGAAAAAUACCAAACUAUCGAAUUGAACGAAUAUUGAUAGCUUGCCAGCUCUGACCCGGUAAUUCAAAUUAUUAUUUAAAAAACAAAUCCAAACUAAAGAUUUGCCUUUUAAAUGCUCUUUUGUAAAAAUAUGCAAAUCCUAUUCAAAUCAAACAAAAGAUAUAACAGCUUAACAAUCCUUGAGAGAAGUUACUGCACUUCAAUUCCCUAAACUCUUUUAAUUGUUCAAGUUAAAAUUUUCAACAACAAAACUCAUAAUGCAAUUCCACAAAAAAAGAAGAAGAUAUGAAAAGCAAAAAUUCAACCAAAAUGCCUCGAAAGGUGUUGAGAAUGCCUUCAGCUUUAAGCCAAUGGUUGCAGCACAAGCAAACCCACUCUGCAGCAUCACCAUCACAUCGCAUCCAUCAAAAGCCCAAAAAGGACAAGCCACCCAUACUUUGCACUUUGAAGUGCCCACUCCCCCGAAUACUUUUAUCAUAUUUACUCACUUCGCCAGCUAGCGAACGAACAGAAAAGCAAACUUUUAAUGAUGAAUUCCAAAAUGUGUGCAGCAAAACUUUUAAAUAUUCAUGAAAGUACGAGAGAGUAUAGUUUGCCUCCUGCCUGCAUGCCGGGGGGGGGUUGGGAUGGUCCCCUUGUAUCUCUGUGAAAUUUGAUAUGAACUGCACUUAAAAGGGGAUAGAAUCAAAAGCUCAUCAUCAUCAUCGACAUGGUUAUUCCUCCUUAAGGUUAGUUUUGUUGGCGAGCGGGUGUAUGGCCGUGUGGGGAACUUUAGAUCGAAGUGUACAUAAGCCAAACUGACAGUUUCCAUUGAACAUUCAGUGGCAGUGUUUCAACAAAAUUCAUUCACAUUUGCAUUGAGUUUCAAGUGUCAUUCAUCGAAUUUUGAUGAGGCCACUCUCGCCUGUCAGCUCAGCUCUGCUUCGGCUUCAGCUUCAGCUUCACACAGGCAAUAUGAUCUGCGAUUUUAUGACUUUAAGAGUUUUCUUUUGCUACCGAAAAUAAAAUGCGAAUCUUUUUGGCAAACAAAAA
rnacentral:sRNA from 1 species